CUGAACUACAAUCUUGCUUUCUCCCAUUGAGCAGCAGCAAAAUGUCUUUUAUCAUUUGAGGCAUUAAAUAACUCCAGGGAAAGAGAGCUCCAUGGAAAGAACACCACCCUGCCCUCCUACUAUUCACUAGCCUGGACAUUUGGGAUUGCAGAGAAUAAGUGGGCCACUGAAAUGCCAGCAAGUGUAUGAACAGUUCCACCAGGUGCAAGGAGAUUAGGCAGCCUUUAUCCACACUACCAAAGUAUCAGAACAUUUCUUUUAGAUCUACUAUGCAGGCACGAGAGCCAAAGAGUCUGAAUUAUGCUGUCCUCCAGACUCUUCUAUUAUGCUUUUUUCAGCAUUUUGCACAAAUGAGAUGGAUCAGAGUUCACACUUGUGACAAGCUCUGCUGAAACUGCAGAAACAAAGGUACUUGCUAGAAUCUAAUUCCCCAAAUAAUAAGUAGCAGUCCCUAUCUCUGAGGGCAUGUACCAUAACAGAUGCUAGCACAUCAUCAUGCAAGCAACUAGACACUGUCAGCAGCUGUUGAGAUAAUACAGUGUUUGAUUUUAUUUCUCUGAUAGCAAUUUGGUUGCCUGAAGUAGCUCAUUUUUGCCAAAGGUAGACCAUAGUGUUCAAAUGGGAGAAGCUGAUCAUUAAUGGUAAUUUGCUUUGAUCUUUAUGAGUGUGGAAUUAGAGUGGGAAGUGUGUGCACUUUAAUUGCCUUUUAGCAUCACCAAGGCAGACUAAUAUUGACUAAUAUUGAUUAAGUGGGAUGAAAUCCUCUUCUGUUUUUUUUUUCCUCCCAAGGAGAAAGCGAAUUGGUUCAUUCAUUAGAUAACACACAGAAAAGAGGCCUGUUCCCAGACCACCUACUGCUCUGACAUAGAUAGCUCCACCUCAUUUAAAAUUCUUGUUUAUUUUUGUCUCCUCUAGGUGAAGCUGCUUCCCAAAAGAAAAACACAGAUGUGUAGGUUUUUAGAACUCUUCUUGCAUUUAUAAAACAAGCAGGUGAUAUUGGGCUGUUCAUCACAACUGAUUGUUCAGUGCAAUUAUGUAGACUAUAUAAUGCCUUUCUCAUGGUAGAAGAAUGGCACAGGGUCAUUUGCAAUGUUUGCUCUGUGGACUCAGGGAAAAGAAGUUACUAGCUUGCUAAUUAUCAAAUGCUGCUUCAGGCUCAUUGGCUUGAAAUUAAGCAUUGUUAAAGUCAAUUUAAACAAACUUUCAAACUACACUGUUUUAUUUUUUUUGUUCCUAAGUGGCAAGCUCUUGAAAGCCUCCAAAGUCUUCAUCUUUAGUACUCUGAAAUUCAGCCCUCUUAAGCAAAAGAUUAUUCUGUGAGUAAGUCCAGUUUUUUGAUCAUGUUGACCAGUUUGACUUAUUGAUGAUUGUGACAUGGGAGGCCAAAAGAGGUAGAAGGGAUCUAAUGAUUUCCAAAUAAUAUUUAUGCAGCUUCCUAGCUCGUCAGUGAAUGGCUCAGCCAAAAACUGCCUGUUAUAUACAGCAGCAACAUGUAUACAUCAGCAUUUCCAAGAGAAGAUUGUACAGCAGUUCCACAAUGACUUUUCUGAUGCAGUCAUACUAACACUAUUAGGAGUAAUUCCAAGAUACUCUUUUUUUCUGUCCCUGAAUACAGUGGUUUGAUUCCAGGAUACCUUUUUCAACGAAGGCUGCUCUGAAAACAAUGCCUCCAGUUUUAUUCUGUCGACCCACGAUGUCAGAGGCGGAUGUUAGUGGAAGUAGAGGUUGAAUCCUCUCACCAGCAUUCCAUUACAUGUUGUUGCUGGUUGUUGCUGUGGGACAGAUGGCAGAAGAGGGGCACUCUGACAAAAAGGCAUCUGGUUUGGAAAUACGUAUGAAGCACAGGUGUGUCAUUGAAUUCCUCCAUGCAGAAAAAAUGGCACCCAAUGACAUUCACUGAUGUAUGCUGAAUGCUUAUAGAGACCAAACAGUGGAUGUGAGCACAGUGAGACGGUGGGUGGCGCGCUUCAGCAGUAGUCACAGCGACACGAAAGACAAGGUAUUUUUUGGAUGGCCAUGAAGAUUUUUAUGAACAUGGCAUGCAGUCUCUUGUUCAUCAUUGGCAAAAUUCGUAGCUAAUGGUGAUGACUAUGUUGAAAUAUAGAAUUUUGUAGCUGAGAAUUUGUUCUAUCAAAUAGUGUUAUUGUACUUUUUGUAGAUGUUGUGUUUUCCAUGGAAAUAAAUAAAAGGCAUUACUUUUGGAGUGACUUAGGGACAUAAAAGUUAUUUAUUUAAUAAUUAAAUGUCCACUUAUUCUGGGAAGCCAAUGCCAUGCAACAUCUUUUCGUUGACAAUCCUAUCCAUUUCUAUUUUAGCAAGGAGAUUGCAGUUCAGGAGGGAAGGUUUCUAGAUCACCAUUUCAUUUUAUGCGGACUUUAUUUUUAUUCCUUACAACCCGAAAAAUUAUGCAAGUAGUUCUAUUUGAAAACUGUUAACAGAAAGUUGGGAGUUACAAGUCACUCUGAAAAUGUAAGGAUGUCUUUAGUGGGUGAAGUGCAAGGACCUUCAGGGUACAGAACAAUCACAAAGUUCAUGUUCCAAUGGAGCCUGCCACUGCUUUCUUAUUAAUUCCAGGAGGAUCAAGAUUGCGUGCCUUUUCAACAUUGAUAUUCAAUACUCAUGAUAACAUUUUCUGAGUACUGCCACUGUUCAAAGGAUGAAAAUUAGAUAGAAGUUUGUUUACUCCCGUUUAUGAGUACAGGUGGUCUUGUAGUAUUACUUUUUUCUUCUUCUUUUUCCUAGCAAAUGUGCCUUGGGAUAUACACUACGAGAAAGCAUGCAUUAGUAUCUGUUUAGAAUGCCACACUUGAGAACACAGAACCAUUGGCAGAUUAUGUAAUGCUGUGGCAUUAUAGAAUCUUUCCAUUUUCACUUUUGGCCGUUCGUCAUCAUAAUGUCCAGAGCCUUCUUGGUGUUUUAUAUUUCCCUAGAAAGGCAUGCAAUUCUCAGUAAGAGUAAUGGAAGAGACAGUGAUCUGGCAAAAAGAAAAUGCAAAGACAAGGAAAACCCUCCAUAGGAAGAUUGUGUUAGAAAGUUGGGAAGAUUAGUUGUUAUCAUUAAAAUAAUCAUGCUUCCUCUACUUAUAAUAUGAGCAAAACCAAGCUAACUUGAAAGUGAAGUAUGAUGACAAAUAGAAAAUGGGAUUUUCUGAACUGUUCCCUAUGGUCAGAGUGAGAAGUUUUGAUAAUUCUGAAUAAUUUCUAGUGGAUGCUAAAAUAAACAUAAAUGCAGUAGUAAAUGCACUGACUUGCCUUCCAACCAUAUUUACACCCAUGUUUUUGUAAGCGAUUACAGAUUUUGUGUACCAACAUGAAACAUUUUUUUUGUUCGUUUUGGAGAGUGAAUGUUAAAUGUCAGUCUGAUAUCAGCAGAAAAAAAAAUGAGUAUGAUAAGAUACGGCACCCAAAAUUCUCCCUUGUAUCUGAAAACCUUGAUCUGAACAAAUAGUUGCAGCUUAGCCUGUGCUCAGGUGGUUUUGUCUGGGGGUUUCUCCUACUAAAAAGUGCGUGAUAUC
ensembl:lncRNA